CAUACGGCCAUAACAUUAUAG
rnacentral:sRNA from 1 species